CACUUAAAUCGGCAAACCAUUGAGUAGCUAAACGAAGUCAAUAGUACUUUUUUGAAUUCUAAAAUUUAUUAAUUCCUGUGUAAUACAUUUUCGUUUACAGUUUUGAAAAAUGAAAAGUUAGCUCAUAAUAUAGAAACAGGGGAAGUAUUUUAAAUGUCUAAUUCGCAAAAAAAGAAAGGUUUAUAACAAAGUAGAGCUUCCUAUUUCUGGAAUCUGUCAGCAGUCCGCUCAGCCAGUGUGGAAGGAUAUAGACCCUCCCCAGCGGUCUUGUAGCGCCUGGUCCCCAGCAGCUCCGUCGCCCACCACCGGCUGUACCGGCUCCUGGUUGCUGGCGGCAUCUCCGCUAGGGACAGCUGGGACGCCUGCAGGUUCCUGCGCCAUCGUGGUCACAACCUGCAGACCAAG